UUUUGUUUUAUGAUGACUAGUAACAUAAUUCACAUAACGUUUGUGAUUAUCCCUAAAAUUAUUUGUCUUUCACUCCUAUAUGAUGACUCUU